AAGAUAAGUUGGUAUGUCAUGAUCUUAAGCUUGAAGAAGAAAGGUCUUACACCUACAUGUCUCUGACCUCAGUAUAAGGUCAAUUUUUCCUUCAAAACUAAAAUCUUAGUCACCUGGCUUUAAAAGGUUUCAGAAGCCUCCAUAAAAGCCAUGAAAUAUAUUGUUGAAUAGAACCUUUGCUAUUCUGUUCCUACUUUCCAAAGCACUCAUGUGAGAAAAAGCAACCCCAAACAACCUCAGCCAAAAGUCUCUGCCUUCAAACUACAAGAUCUCUGGGUCACCUCUAAUAAAAUAACCAACAUAUCAUUCAAGAGACUAUUUUCAUUCCAGAUUCCAGCCAACUGUGAUUUCAGUUAAUUUAUAAAUAACCUUAAAAACUUAUGAAUGAAAUGCACCAUACUACACUGUGUAAAAGCAAUCAUGUUUAAUUAUGAUAAAAUUGACUAAUACAGUGAGCUUUAAUUAGAAAAUCUAAGAUUCUAAAUAAAUUGCUAGGAAAUUUCACAAUGGGGUCAAUGAAGAUUUCUCUACUUACAAUAUGAUCGUUAACAGACUAGUUAAUCUUAUUUGGAAUGAUAAGGCAAAAAUAGUAAAACCACACUUUUCCUAUAAAAAGUUACAUGUUAUCUUCUGUAAGGAUAGCUAUUGUAUAUGAAGAAACAAAGAUGUGAUCACUCUAUUGCACACCCAGACACAUUAGGGAAUCUUGUCUUAGAAUGAUGUAGUCAUAUUCUUCCUCUCCAUCGUCUUAAGCAUCUCAUUCCCUCUUUUCCGCUCGAAGACCUUCUUCUUCCUCCUCUUCUUCUUCUUCAUCAUAGUCAUCAUCAUCUUCCUCAUCCUGAGUGUCUUCUUUCAUUAAAUAUGAGAGGCCCACUUCCUCUUCUCCCUCUCCCAAUUCUGAGCCUGGUUCAUCUUCAUCCUCAUCAUCAUCCUUGUCCUCCUCAUAUCCUUCAGGUGGACCAGCUUCAUCUUUCUCUUCAUCUUCAUCAUCUCCAUCCUCAUCAGUCUCUUCUUCUGAGUCUUGUGCUUUAUUAUUCUCCUGGUCAAAUCCAUCUAAGUAUGUGAUUUGCUGCAGCAGCUCAAAAAUACUUUCUCUAUAAUCUUCCAGGUUUGUGAUCUCAGAGUUAAACAAGUCAAGA
rnacentral:lncRNA from 1 species